rnacentral:pre_miRNA from 1 species
UAGUUUUGUCCUAAGUCAAACUUCUCUAACUUUGACCGAGUUUAUAGAAAACCAACAUCUACAAUAACAAAUAAAUACACUAUCAAGACAUAUUUCAUGGUGGAUUUAAUGAAAUUAAUUUGAUGUUGUAAAUGUUUGUGUAUUUUUUUUAUUAACUCAGUCAAAGUUAGAGAAAUUUCACUUAUGACAAAACUAA